rnacentral:misc_RNA from 1 species
GGCCAACUCAUAACAGGUACGUCAUAUGAAAUCUUUAAUACGAAAAUCAACUUAUAUCAACAAGAUUUUAGGAAUUAAUCAAUCUCAUUCUAAAAUCAAAGUAAUUUAUUCUCAUGUUAACAAGAAUAAUUUUUGCCUCUUUCUUUGUAAUGAGCUUAAUCUUGUAUACAUUCCUUUAACAUGUAUAACUGUGUGUGUGUGUGUGUGU